UUACAUUUCUGGCAUGGGAAACACUAUAAUCAUGAAAGCGAUUUUUCCCAGGACAAGGCUUAUUCAUUUCAUUUCGGAUAUGGUCCCCACUGUGAUCUCCCCGAAUGUGGGAAACUCCACUGUGUAAUUAAUGGUAGAAGAGGACUGCAUUCAUGCUCUCCCCAG